GAUGAAGAACGUAGCGAAAUGCGAUAAGUAAUGUGAAUUGCAGAAUUCAGUGAAUCAUCGAAUCUUUGAACGCACCUUGCGCUCCUUGGUAUUCCGAGGAGCAUGCCUGUUUGAGUGUCAUUAAUAUAUCAACCUCUUCAGCUUAUGCUUGUUGAGUGUUGGAUGGUGGGGGUUUGCUGGUGUCUUAUGAAGUCAGCUCCUCUGAAAUGCAUUAGCGGAACAAUUUGUUGACCGUUCAUUGGUGUGAUAAAAAUAUCUACGCUAUUGACGUCAGUCAGUUCAGCUUCUAACAGUCCAUUGACUUGGACAAAUUUUUCAUUAAUGUGACCUCAAAUCAGGUAGGACUACCCGCUGAACUUAAGCAUAUCAAAAGCGGAGGA
rnacentral:misc_RNA from 1 species